AAGUCGUAACAAGGUUUCCGUAGGUGAACCUGCGGAAGGAUCAUUAACACGAACUAUAUCCACUAUUCCAACCAAACGUGAACUUUUCCCCUCCCUAGUGCUAUAUUGCACUAGGCUAAACUGUUUUCUCUAUUGUCACACCCCAUACAAACAAACCAACCUAUGGUCUUGACUUUACACUCAUUACCACUUCAUACAUCCGAACAUGACCAGUGGUCCUAGUUGACUCGGUCUGUUCUGUUCUACUAACGAACUGAAAAAGAGAAAUACAACUCUUAACAAUGGAUAUCUUGGUUCUC
rnacentral:misc_RNA from 1 species